rnacentral:rRNA from 1 species
UACGUAGGAUGCAAGCGUUGUCCGGAUUUACUGGGCGUAAAGCGCGCGCAGGCGGUUCUUUAAGUAUGGCGUGAAAUCUCCCUGCUCAACGGGGAGGUGCGUUGUAGACUGAGGAGCUUGAGGUCGGUAGAGGGGGGGGUGGAAUUGCUGGUGUAGCGGUGAAAUGCGUAGAGAUCAGCAGGAACACCCGUGGCGAAGGCGGCUCUCUGGAACGGUACUGGACGCUGAGACGCGAAAGCGUGGGAGCAAACAGG